UAACGCGAAGAACCUUACCAAAUCUUGACAUCCUUUGAAAACUCUAGAGAUAGAGCCUUCCCCUUCGGGGGACAAAGUGACAGGUGGUGCAUGGUUGUCGUCAGCUCGUGUCGUGAGAUGUUGGGUUAAGUCCCGCAACGAGCGCAACCCUUAAGCUUAGUUGCCAUCAUUAAGUUGGGCACUCUAGGUUGACUGCCGGUGACAAACCGGAGGAAGGUGGGGAUGACGUCAAAUCAUCAUGCCCCUUAUGAUUUGGGCUACACACGUGCUACAAUGGACAAUACAAAGGGCAGCUAAACCGCGAGGUCAUGCAAAUCCCAUAAAGUUGUUCUCAGUUCGGAUUGUAGUCUGCAACUCGACUACAUGAAGCUGGAAUCGCUAGUAAUCGUAGAUCAGCAUGCUACGGUGAAUACGUUCCCGGGUCUUGUACACACCGA
rnacentral:rRNA from 1 species